rnacentral:sRNA from 1 species
GCCAGGUGAAAUGACAUGCACUUGUAGUCCCAGUUUCUUGGGAGGCUGAGGCAGGAAGAUGGCUUGAGCCCAAGAGUUUGAGGCCAGCAUGGGCAACAUAGCAAGACCCCAUCUCCC